ensembl:lncRNA
GCAUCUUGUCCCACCCUUUUAACGCACAUAGUUGCCUAUAAAGUCAGUGAAACUUCCUUAAUAUUUAUCCAUACUGACUGCAUGAUGACAAUUCCCGACAGAAAAACUUUUAAAAAAGAAAUUUCACCCCGUGUGAAAUGGAAGUUUUUGUAGGAGAGGUUGAAGCAAGAAAAAAUAUAUUGUUUGGUGGACACCGUGUGGGCAUUAUAAAUACCAAAAAGGCGUUAGUGGCAGCAUGUGGCAGACGCUGUGAAUGCUGCUGGCUCAAAAGGUCGGACCAUUUCAGUAAUAAAAAUGAAGUGGUCUGACCAAAGUGGAGGACAAAGGGCACAUAGCCUUACACAGACAAAGUGUUUGUGCCACGGAUGGGGGUAAGGUGACACCGGAGCUCAAACCCCUUGAUGAGCGACUUGCCGGUAUUAUAGGGGAAUCCCUCCGGAGUGGAGUAGUGUCGGAGGGGGACAUGCAAAACGCACCGGAUGAUCCAGCGGGGUCGGUGGUGUUGCAGCUGAGCAGGAGCUGAAUGCGCCCAGCCCCGGCUCAACCCUCCAGCCGCUGUGUCCUCACAGAUGCAGUCCUGCAAACAGACACCAUCGAAGCUAUUAACGAGGUUGCCACGGAGUUGAAGUGGGACAGGCACUCCUUGGUUUCUGCGGUUGCUUCUCUGGAAAGCUGGGCCCACUACAGCACAGAGAUCCAAGAGAACAGCUCUUGGUAAUCGGAACCGGCUCAUAAACCACUCGUAAUCAUUGGCCAGUAAAUAUGGCCUAGUCUCUGAAAAUUCGCUCUCUCCGAAUUCUUCCAUUCGCCAAAUCUUCCUACAGUGCCAAUAAAAGCCAUUGUGUGUCAUUACGCAUUGUAAUUGCACGUCUUUUUAUACCCACCCAUUUGAUUGUCAAAGCUACCCAAAUUGUGUAACACCUUCAGGUGUGGUAAUUAACCUGAUUGUAGCUGACAAUGACAGGGCCAUUAUCACAGUGACAGUUCUGCGCAACGAACAUGUGAUACAAAUGCACAGUUUCAUAUAUUUUUAUCUGCCCGACUGAAGCAUCGAAAACGGCAUCCGUUUAAAGUAAUUUGUCCUACUGUUCACCAAAUUAUUUAUGAGAAUACAUUUCAUAAAAUGCAAGUAUUGUUUAAUAAUUACAGAACCAAAUAAAUAUGAUUCCGAUUAAACUGUACAACAUAUGUGAGGGAUUCUUUUGCAAAAAUCGAUAUCUCCGUUUGUAUUUAUUAUCCCAAAUCAUGUUUUUUUUUGUGGGGGGUUUUGUGUGCACUCCAGGGAAUUCUUCAUAUAUAAUACAUGAGAGGUAAUAUUUUGAUUUAUUUUACACAAUUAUAUACAUUUCAAAGUGUUUCUCAAGUUCCAUCCUUCUGCCAUAGCAGUCGCAGUAUCUAAUUUCUCCAGUUAAUGUGCAUACCUAUGGGUCAAAGUGUCCGUGGAGGACCUGGCAGUUCGCUUAGAAAGUGGUGUAAGCCUUCUUUUGUGCCUACACAAUGUUUAUAAAUGAG